UAAACAGUUAUGUGGACAAUUGAGUCCCUAGCAGCAUUAGCCACAGCAACCGAACAGGGAGCUCCCAGGGGGAACAGCAGCUGUGAGAGCAUGAACGCAGGAGAGUGCGUCUGCUUUGUCCGCCGUCCUGCAUGGCCCGGUGUCUGACCUGUUGCAGGCUGGUCAGCUAGGAGUGGAUGAUAUACCGGCAGCGAGAUGGUUGAGAAAACGGUGGAUGCGAGUAUGGUGGAGAAGCGAAAGUACUUGGCGUACUAUAAGGACCUAUUGGAUGGGUGACCUGCCUACGGCCGAACAUACCCAUGAAAGGAGAAAUGUCACCAGGCUACACUAUAACAGUGGACUUAGGACAGAUCAUGAAAGCCUUGGGCCAGGUGGUGACCACAUAGUGUAUGUUAAGAAUUAUAACAGGGAGUGACACACAUAUAAACUCAUGAAAGUUUGACCUGAUAGCUGUGUGAACAAGGGAUGGAAGGGAACAAGCCCUAAAGGAAGGGAUGGGACAGAAAUUUGUGGGCACCAGAACUCAGCGAGGGGUAGCGAAGGACACGGAACAGUGUCUAGAUCGAGACACUGGAUGAAGAAGCCAUCUAGAAUGAAAGUGUCAGGGACCAGUUUGGGAGACAAGAUGUAUGGAGCGUGGAGAGUUCCAUCCCCAGUCACCCUCUCCUGAGAGCAUACUCAGCCCCUCCAUUUCUAUAGGAAGAUAUGGGGUGCACAGUAGAACUCCGUCUGGAACCAGCCCAAGGGGAGGCGCCAUGAUGAAGUUUUAUGAAUGUAGCUGGUAGACUGUAAGGACUUCCUAGCCAAAUAUUUCACAAUCAUGACUCAUGUGCACUCUAAUUAUCUGUCACCUCUGGGGGGGGCUGGUUCCGGGAACCCCGGCUCCUGUAGAUACUAGAGUCCAAAGCUGCUCAAGUCUCUUACAGAAAACGGCUUGGUGUUUUCCUGUGAUCUAUCCGCAUCUUCUCGCGUGUGCUAAAGGAUCUCUAGACUGCUUAU